rnacentral:lncRNA from 1 species
CCCAGGGCUUGUGCAUGUGAGGCAAGCACUCUACCAACUGAGCUAUAUCCCCAGCCUUAUAUCUCUUUUAAUUAUCAUGGAACUAUAGUAAAAAAAUCUACCCAACAAAUGUAAAGUUUGGUGACUAACACAUGUUCCUAAUUUUUCCGAUAUUGUCUAUGAAAGCCUACAAUUCUCAUUUUUCUGAAGAAAACUUGCAUUCCCGUCUUAGGCAAGUGUCUUUAACCGUGCAGGGUUCUACAGAUCUCAUCCCUUCUUUAAGGUGUGAAACCAGGUAGUUACAUGUUCACGGCUCUGAGAGCCAGGUCUGGGAUAAGACUCAUUUAUUUGUGAGACGGGUUCUGCAAAUAAUGUGAUUACUGUUGUAUAUUCGAAAUGCUCCACAAACGCACACUUUAGGGUAGUUCUAAGUGAUACCGGAAAUAGGAAAAUAGAUUCUAAACUCUCGGGGCGAAGACCAUGUCUUGCUUUUGGCACUCUGAAGUACUGCAUGUGCCUAAAGAUCUUAUAAACAUUCAA